rnacentral:rRNA from 1 species
GGGCUGAGGAAUAUAAUAAUAUGGGGGGCAAAGAUUCGGGACCAUAUAAUACCAUAAGAACUGGCAAGUUCUAAAAAAAGUAAAUGAAAAAUAUCCUGGAAAAUCAAAAGGGCAAUAGACGUUGACAUAAAUAAACGGUUUUUAUAAUUAAAAAAGACUCCUAUGUACCAUGAAUACUAAGGACCCUUAUAGUUCCACUUUAGAUGACACCAAAGCCUUUCUUUAUAUUUGGAUAUAUAAAAAAUAUUUGGAUAUAUAAAAAAUAUAUCCAAAGCGGGCACGACGCAAAAGUCUAAAAAAGUUCGGAUCUAUAAAGGGUCUCAGAAGACUGGGAGGAGUAAAAAAAGGUAAAAUUAAAAAAAGAAGGCUUAUCACGGAUCUCUAGGCACUCAAAGGCGAUGAAGGGCGUUUAGACCAACGAAAAUGCUUUGUGGAGUAGGCUAAAAAUGCUAGGAUACAAAGAUUCCCGAAUAGGGCAACCUAAUAAACUCUCUUGAGAAUUCAUAAUCAAGACAAGAGCUAACGCACUGAACUGAAACCUCUUAGUAAGUGUAGGAAAAGAAAACAAAAGUGAUUUUUUGAGUAGCGGCGAGCGAAAAAAAAACAGCCUAAACCGAUCUAUAAAUAUCGACAUUAAAGACGAUUUGAAAAAAAAAGCCGUAUUGCAAUUUUAAUUUGUCUAUAUAAAAAAGACAACGUAAGGGCUGCAAAAGGUAAAAAUAGACGGGGUAGUUGGGAUUAGAGAAAAUGAGCAGAAGAAAGACUAGGUUAUUAUUCCACGUGGAAUAAUAAGUCCACGUGGAAUAAGAACGGAAAGAAUUUUGAAUUUUAAAUGAAAUGAAUGAAAAUACAUACCAUAGAUGGUGAUAAGUCCAGUAAUUUAAACAUGCUAAAAAACUAGCGGCCAAAACUUUGUUCUUUGAACAAUCAUGUGGCCGCGACAUGUAUACUAGCAUUUCUGUAAUUCCCGAGUAGCAUGAGACACGUGAAAUCUCGUGUGAAUCAGCGAGGACCACCUCGUAAGGCUAAAUACUCUUGAGUGACCGAUAGCGAAAUAGUACCGUGAGGGAAAGAUGAAAAGCACACCUGAAAAGGAUGAUAUGAAAUAGAACGUGAAAUGGUAAGCUGAUAAGCAGUGGGAGGAAAAAGGAGUAUAAUAUUUCUGACCGCGUGCCUGUUGAAGAAUGUGUCGGCGAGUUCAAUAAAGUGGCUUUUGAUUCAAGUCGAAGCGAAAGCGAGUUUUAAAAAAAAAGCAUAUCUAUGUCACUUUAUUGAGACCCGAACCUGCCUGAUCUAAUCAAGGCCAGGAGGAAUCGCUGGUAAUACAGCUGAGGAAGUCCGAACCGACCAAUGUUGAAAAAUUGCCGGAUGAGCCUUGAUUUGCGAGUUUCUGAAAAAGUAGCUCCUUUUAAAAAAAUUUUAAAAGUACAAAUUAAAAUAAUUGCAAAAACAUUACUCACCCGCUUUGCAAUAUAUCAUAUAAAAGAAUAUGGAAAUUUAGCGGCGCAAAAUAAUAAAUAUUAUUUUCAAGUAAAAAAAUUUGCAGCCCAUGGCCCCUGCGUCUCAACGACGCGGGAGCCGUAGGUUCAGAGAUUAUUAAAUUUUAACAUGUAGCAAUUAUUUUUAUGGUUUUGUGUCGGUUGUAUUCAAAUUCAUUUAAAUACGACAUAAACCUAUAUAUUUAAGAUUGACUUACAUGAUGAAAUAAUCUUGCAAAAACAUUACUCACCCGCUUUGCAAUAUAUCAUAUAAAAGAAUAUGGAAAUUUAGCGGCGCAAAAUAAUAAAUAUUAUUUUCAAGUAAAAAAAUUUGCAGCCCAUGGCCCCUGCGUCUCAACGACGCGGGAGCCGUAGGUUCAGAGAUUAUUAAAUUUUAACAUGUAGCAAUUAUUUUUAUGGUUUUGUGUCGGUUGUAUUCAAAUUCAUUUAAAUACGACAUAAACCUAUAUAUUUAAGAUUGACUUACAUGAUGAAAUAAUCCGAUCUUCUUUUGUAUAUACAAAAGAAGAACUAUUGGAAAAGCUAAUCGAAGGCAGAGCUAGCUGGUUCUCUCCGAAAUGCGUUUAGGCGCAGCAUAUGGUGAUGGAAUUUUUUUUAGGGUUAAAAGUCAACUAAGACUCAGCCCAAUAAAAUUUAAGAUUUUAUUAAAAUUUAAAUAAAAAAUUAAAUAGAUUGCAAGAAUCUACGACUUAAAUUUCUAAGUGGUGGGAAUUUGCAGCCUAAUAUGUUCGUCUUUUUACCUCCACGCUUUGCAUGGUCCUCUCGCUCGCGAGGGACCAUGCAAAACCCAGUGGAUAGCGGUUAUACCCUCGGGUAUAACCAGCCAUAGAUCGCUUUUGGGUCGUGCCCGCAUUCGAUAUAUUAAUAAUAUAUCGAAUGCGGGGCCAAAGCCAUAUAUAGGCUUUGUCCUUGUAUUCGAAAGCUUUUAAGCUCUCGAAUGAGCGUGAAAUAAAAAACAUAUUAAGUUCAGAGACUAAAAAUUAACAUGUGAAUUUAUUUAUCUAAACCAAAAGCAAUAACUAUUUAAUUUGUAACGCAAAAAUUUAGAUAUAUAAAAUACUCUUGAAAAAUAGUCCGGAUCGCUUUUGGGUCGUGCCCGCAUUCGAUAUAUUAAUAAUAUAUCGAAUGCGGGGCCAAAGCCAUAUAUAGGCUUUGUCCUUGUAUUCGAAAGCUUUUAAGCUCUCGAAUGAGCGUGAAAUAAAAAACAUAUUAAGUUCAGAGACUAAAAAUUAACAUGUGAAUUUAUUUAUCUAAACCAAAAGCAAUAACUAUUUAAUUUGUAACGCAAAAAUUUAGAUAUAUAAAAUACUCUUGAAAAAUAGUCCGAUUGUUUUAAUUAAAAAAUGAACUCAUUAAUCUUGAAUGAGUUUAAAUUAAAACAAUUGAGAGCUCUGAUUUCGUGCGGGCGAUGUGAAUUGUACCAAACGAAAAUAAACUUCGAAUACAAAAAAUACCACCAUAUAGUGGGAGCAAUGAGGAUAAGCGCAUUGCUCGAAAGGGAAACAGCCCGAAUCACUAGUUAAGGCCCCUAAAUGAAUUGCUAAGUGUUAAAGGAAGUGGAAGAUCAAGAGAGUCAGAAAGUACGCUCGGAAGCAGCUAUCUUUUAAAGAGGAAGCGUAAAAGCACACUGACAGAUGCGUCUCAUCGCACCUAAAAUGUAUGGGACUAAGCAAUUUGCCGAAACUGUGAGAGAUUUUUUUUUUAGCGAGAUUUUUUCGAAUUUAAAAGCUAUAGGCUUUAAAAUUCGAAAAAAAAUCAUGAUGCCGCAUCUUUGAUAGUCUUUUACUAUCAAAGAUGCGGCAUGUAGAUCCGUUACAAAACGGAACCGUAAAAUGGAAAAAGAGAGAAAAUCGAUAAUAUAUAAUAUAUUAUAGAUUUAUAAAAGCCCAUAAACUAAAAAUUCUAAAUCUCGGUAGGAGAGCGUUGUGCAGUAUAAUACUACUACCGCAGUGAUGUAUAUAAAACUCCUAAAUACCCCGCUCUGUUGUAUUCACCGUAGAGCGGGGAGUAAAGUUUAUCUCUCUAAAGCUCUUACUCGUAAGAGAAAAAAGAUAGGAUAAAGGAGUAGUUAAUGCACAAGUGAUAAUGUCGACUUGAGUAACGAAAAGGGAGGUGAGAAUCCUACUCCCCGAAAAUCCAAGGUUUUCUUUAUUUUAUAUUUAAAAUAGGCUUGUCCAUAAAGAGUUGACAUAAGCUCCAUCUUUAAGUUAAUGCAGCAUAAAUUAAAGAACGAAAAUCAAAAAAAUUGCGAGAAUCUCCGGCCCCUGGGCCGGAGAAAUUCGCAUCCUUUUUAUUUAUAAAAAGGUUCAGAGACUAUUAAACUUUUGCUUCAUAUAUUCAUGAAGAUGAUAAAGUCCUUAUAGUCUAUAAAUAGACUAGUUUUAAGUAGUCAGCACCUAAGAUGAGGUUGAAAAACGUAGUCGAUUGGUAAUCAAGUUAAUAUUCUUGAACUAAACUGGGUUUCUAAAUAUUGUCGAAGAUUUCUCUAUUUCCUUCACUUGCUACUCUCCCUUACCUUGGGAGAGAAAACAAGAAUAGAAAUAAAGAUUUCUUUUGUGAAAUUUACAAAUUUCUCAUAUCAUUCUUUCAAAUAUAUAGGCCUUUGGCCUAUAUAUCGCGUUGCCCUCUCCCUUAUUAUAUUCUAUAUAAGAAGGGGAGAGUAAAUAAUAGAAUAUAGGUAAUUUCUAUUAGAUGAUAUAUUAAGAAAUUUUAAAUACUAGCCGUACCUAACACAGAAGGACGAAAUUACGUGUCACGAAGUAUUUAAUAGGUUUUUCCAGCACGUAAAUCGGAUUAGUUAAAAAAUAUUCCGAGUUUUCCAAGAAAACUUCUGAGUGAAAUUACAGCUCUUCUUUUGGAGAGAUAAUGAUUCAUGUAGAACAGUUUAGCUGUACCCGAAACUGACACAGGUGGAUAAGUAGAGUAUACUAAGGGGUCUAUCUUAUGGCCCGAUCAUGUUAUAAAUACAUGAAAGAUAGUACGCUCGCGUGGCUUGCUAAUCAAAAAAUUGCAAGAAUUUUAUGAACGAAAUUUUUAUAAAUUUUAAACUUGCAGCCUUAAAAUUUUAUUUUUGGUCUUUUUGAAUAGUGGUCUCCUUGCUUGCAAGGAGACCUCUCAAAACGACGAAGCAAGCGAGUCUUUUUGAAUAUCAAAACACGACGACACAAGCUAGUCUUUUAAGAAUUUUUAGCUCCACGCUUUGCAUUAAAAGGCAAAACGGGCAGUGGAUAUUCAAAAAGACGACACAAGCUGGUCUUUAAGAACUUUUAAGAACUUUUUGGAUAUGAAUUUUUAGGUUUAACGACUAAUAAUUUGACAUCUAAUAGUAUUUUUAUUCAAAACUAAAAAUUAAUGCCAUAUAUAAACCAAAGGUUUAUCUAUGACAUUAAAUAUUGGGAUAUAUAAAAAUAAAAGAUGAUUACAUAGUCUUAUAAGCAAAUAAAAGUUUGCAAUAUAUGCGAGAUAACAAUUUUCAAGGAAUUCGGCAAAUUGACUCUGUACCUUCGGAAGAAAGAGUACCAUACUUGAUCAAAAUACUGUCAAGUUGGUCGCAGUGAAAUGGCUUGGGGGACUGUUUAGGUCUGUGUACUUGAACCGUUAUUAUAAAAAAAUUCUUUUUUUAUAAUUUUGUAAAUUAAACUAAAUGCUGGGAAAUAAUUAAAUAUUAAUACUUAAAUAUCUCGUUUAUUAUAUGUUGUAUUUCUCUCUUCACCUGGGGAGAGAAAUAUUUAACUGACUCACUUUACUAAAUAAUAAAUGUUAUAAUAGUUAAAAAUUUAAUAUAUUCUUUAAAUUUUUAAAGAAUUAAAAUAAUCAGCAUCUCCCUUUAUAGGAUGGGAGGUCAAAGACUACAUGUUUAAUAUUUUUAUUAUUAUAAAGCUUUCUUUGAUUCCGUCUUGACGGAAUCAAAGAAAUCGACGCCCUCUGGGCAAGGCAGCCGGAGGAAAGAAAAAUGGCGGCUUUUAUAAUAAAAAUAAUGAUAUAGUCUGUAAAUUAAACUAAAUGCUGGGAAAUAAUUAAAUAUUAAUACUUAAAUAUCUCGUUUAUUAUAUGUUGUAUUUCUCUCUUCACCUGGGGAGAGAAAUAUUUAACUGACUCACUUUACUAAAUAAUAAAUGUUAUAAUAGUUAAAAAUUUAAUAUAUUCUUUAAAUUUUUAAAGAAUUAAAAUAAUCAGCAUCUCCCUUUAUAGGAUGGGAGGUCAAAGACUACAUGUUUAAUAUUUUUAUUAUUAUAAAGCUUUCUUUGAUUCCGUCUUGACGGAAUCAAAGAAAUCGACGCCCUCUGGGCAAGGCAGCCGGAGGAAAGAAAAAUGGCGGCUUUUAUAAUAAAAAUAAUGAUAUAGUCUGAGCUUUAAUUGUCUUAACAAGCCGGCGGUUAAAGUAAAUAUCAAUUUAAAUAAAAAUUUAUAAAAUUUUAUCCAAUACUUCUAUUUAUGUUAAAAAAUCCUUUUGUUUUAGCCCAAGAAUUGUUUGAUAUCUUUAUAGCUAAUAUGCUUGGAGACGGUUCUUUAGAUGGUUAUGAAGGCGUUUUUAAAAAAACAGCUCGUUUUAUUUAUGCUCAAACCGCACGAGAUCCAAAUAAGGUUUUAUUUAUGGAACAUAUUUAUAGCAAAUAUCAAUCUCUUACUGCCAAAAGAUUUUCACUUCGUACUGUAAUAGCAGAUGGUAUUGAAUAUCAACAGUAUAGAUUUGAAACUAGAAAAUAUAAAGAGUUUUUCCUUAUUUUAAUAUGUUUUAUUACAAAGAUAAAAAUGGUAAAAACAAAAAAUACUUUCUUCAAAUAUUAAAGAUUUUUAAAUGGACGAGUUUUAGCUUAUUGGUUUAUGGAUGAUGGAGGUGCUGCUGAUAUUUCCAAUUCAAGAUCUUUAGAGAUUAGUACUCAUUCUUUUACUUUUGAAGAAACUCUUUAUUUAUGUCGUAUAUUAACCUUCAAAUUUGGGAUUGAGUGUUGGCCUCAAAAAUACUAAACCUGGUAAAAUAUAUUAUAGGCUUUAUAUUAGUGGUAGAAGUUUUUCAACCGUUAUGAAAUUAAUGGGUCCUUAUAUUUUUGAAAGCAUGAAGUAUAAAUUACCUAAAUUACCAGAUAGAGAAUCUCCAACAACUACAGUUGGUCAAAUUUUCGAGGGACGUUUUAAUCGUUUGGUAAAUUUUGAUUUAAAGUCUAAAAGGUGGGAAGUAAAAGAAGUAAUAUGGAAGGAUGAAAUUCGUACUCAACUCGUUGAAGAACGAAUUACUUUUAUAAAAAAAAAUGUUGCGUCUUUGUAUUUUGAAAAAUAUUGUAAUAAAUACAAGGAUACUAUUUAAAUUGAUUUAACAAUUACUGACUAAAAACACAGGUCUCCGCAAAGUUGAAUAAACAAUGUAUGGGGGCUGACGCCUGCCCAGUGUCAGUAGGUUAAGUGCGAGGGUGCAAGCUCUCAAUCGAAGCCCUGUAUCAACGGCGGUCCUAACUCUGAGGAUCCUAAGGUUACACAAUCGCUAGCUUUAGUAAAAUAAAACUAUAUGUUGAGACAUUUUUAAAUUAUCUGUACUAUACUAUAAAUAAUUCUAAACUUGACGCUAUAUAUAUAUGCAAGAGCUAUAUAUAUAGACGCGAAAGCUAUAUAUAUAUAUGCAAGAGCUAUAUAUAGACGCGAAAGCUAUUUAUUAUCUUUCUCCGAAACGGAGAGAGAGCCAACCACGUAGAGUGGGGUACUAAAAGUAAAAAUCAUAUAAUAUAAUUAAAAUAAUCAACAGGAAAAAAAAUCCUUAGAGACUUUAUGUAUUCAUUCCACGUUCUUCGGCCUAUGGUUCUUUGAACGAUGGGUCACAGAACGGGGCAUUAACAAAUUUCUUUAUGGAAAUUUUGUAAGAUAAAGUCCAUAUAUAUAGACGCGAAAGCUAUAUAUAUAUAUGCAAGAGCUAUAUAUAGACGCGAAAGCUAUUUAUUAUCUUUCUCCGAAACGGAGAGAGAGCCAACCACGUAGAGUGGGGUACUAAAAGUAAAAAUCAUAUAAUAUAAUUAAAAUAAUCAACAGGAAAAAAAAUCCUUAGAGACUUUAUGUAUUCAUUCCACGUUCUUCGGCCUAUGGUUCUUUGAACGAUGGGUCACAGAACGGGGCAUUAACAAAUUUCUUUAUGGAAAUUUUGUAAGAUAAAGUCCAGCUAUUUAUGUGAAUAAAUAGAAAAUCUGAGCGAAAUUCAUUGGCACAUAAUUGGUUGUUAUGACAGCCCUGUAGAAUUUUAUAUUUUAUAUGAAUUAAAUAAAUUGCAAGAACUAAUGAAUUAAAUAAUUCGUUACAAUUUGCAGCAAAAUCAUAGCCCCAUGAAAAUAUGGUACUUUGAAUUGUUCAGAGACUAAAAUUAAAAUUGAUAAUUUAAUUUAUUAGUUAUGACAUAGUUCGUGCUACAAUGAAAAUUGUGGGUUACAUGGUCCUGCACAAAUGGCGUAACCAUCCAAGCACUGUCUCGAAAAUUGACUCGGUGAAAUAGACCUGUCCGUGAAGAUGCGGACUCGACAUAUCUAGACGGAAAGACCCUUGAAGCUUUAUUGCAAUUUGAGAUUGAGUUUAAGUUUUUCUUGCGCAGCCUAGGUGGGAGGCGAUGAUGAUUUUUUUCCGGAAAAAUAGUAGCCAACAGUGAGAGACCACUCUGGAAGAAUUUGAACUCUAAAAGUAUAUUACCAAAUCAUCAGGUUACUCUACAGUCUCAAAUGGGUAAUUUAAAUGGGGAAUUUAUUUUUUAAAAGGUAACAAAAAUGUACAAAGGUUUCCUCAAGCUGGAUGGAAAUCAGCUAUUGAGUGUAAAGGCAGAAGGAAGCUUGACUGCGAGAAUGACACUUCAAGCAGGGACGAAAGUCGGUCUUAGUGAUCCGACAAUUUUGAGUGGAAAAGUUGUCGCUCAUCGGCUAAAAGCUACUCUAGGGAUUAACUAUACUGUAAGUCCCAUAUAGUUGUAACCCGUCGCGCUUUAAAAUUUUUGAUUAAAAUUUUUGAUUAAAAUUUUUGAUUUAAUAGCGCGAGUUUUAAAACUAUUUCCACCCUCCGCUUUCUCUUCACCAACCGUGAAAAGAGAUCGGAGCGGGGUAGCAACCAAACCUUUUCCCGUUCCGUAUUAUAUACGGAUAAAAGGUGGGAUGGUCAAGUAAAUUGCAAAAAAACAAUCAUGUAAAUUUGCAUCCAAUUCAAAAGGGAUCAACGACUAAGAUACUUGAAAUCUUUAUAAUAAAGAUAAUGACAUAGUCUGGGGAUCAACGACUAAGAUACUUGAAAUCUUUAUAAUAAAGAUAAUGACAUAGUCUGAACUUUUAUGCUCUUUUAAAAAAGCGUAAAAGAAUGGCCCACCGUCCUCCGGACGGUGAGCCGAUUAACAAUAUUGAACAGGCUAGUUUUGGUCAAGAGACCUUAUCGACACCAAAGUUCGGCACCUCGUGAUGAAUGGGGUCAGUUAAUAACUGUAAAAAAUAAACUAAAUGCUAAAAAAUUUUUGAAUUACAUAUACUUUUUUUACUGCCCCCCCGCUUUGCAUUUUUAAUGCAAAGGGUGGAGCUAAUAUAUUUGAAUAUUAUAUUGUUAAUGUGUUAUUAUAUUUAAUAGCAUGAAAUUUACAAUUCUAUAAAGUAAAAACUAUGUUUUCUGUUAAACAUGCGGAACCAAAAAUAAUUAGCAUCUAACGCUAUUUUAAUAGCGGGAGAUUAACGACUACACGUUUAUUCUAUAUUCAUAUAGAAUGAUAUAGUCUGUUUAAUAGCGGGAGAUUAACGACUACACGUUUAUUCUAUAUUCAUAUAGAAUGAUAUAGUCUGAACUUUUAUAUGGGUGGCUCAGCAAAGCCGAUUAUAAAAGAAAAAAAAAUUUAUUAUAUAUUAUAAUAUAUUAAAAUUAAACAUUAUUGCGAUGUCGUCUCGUCCUAGCUUGGUAAACACUUGCCAAUACUACUCUAUAUGAGUAAUAUAUCUAAUAGCUUAAACGAAAGAAAUCUGGAAAAAAAGAAAUAUCCAGACAAUUUCGUACCAAAAUUCGAAUGAAUUAGGUCUAACGACCAUUAUAUAAAGUAAACUUUAUUUACGAUGCCGCAUCUUAUAAUGGGGAAAAAGAAUCCUGCCAUUUAAUGAAAUCCGCCGGCUGCCUCGCGAGCCCAAAGGGCGUCGAUUUCUUUGAUUCUUUUUUUCCCAAGCUUUUUUAAAAAGCGAAGCGCUUUUUUUAAAAGCGAAGCUAUCAAGGUUUUGAUCUGUCUCUCUUCUCUUAAAAAGAGAGACAGAUCAAAACCUUGACUACGAGCAAAGCAAAGUUUAAAUAGCUAAAUCUCCCCCUCCGGGAGAGAUAAGACAUGGUCUAAACUUCAAAGAAACUUGAAGCAGACAAAUUUAAUGUUUGUCGAAAAAAAUCUUAUUUUUUUGAAUCAUUUGAUUGUAGCAGGUACCAAGAGUAAGACUGUUCGUCUUUUAAAAGGGUUGUUCUCACACAGCCCCCUAGAAUCUUAGAUUUUUUGAAAAUUAAAUAAAUUGCAAAGAAGUUUAAAAUAAAGCCAGUUUGCAGCCUUAUUUAUAUGUUCAUUGAUAUAGACAUGGCCCCCGAAAACGGAGGGCCGUGCGGUAAAAAUUUUGAUAAAUUGACAUAUGAACGAGGUUCAGAGAGUAGAUAUUUAACGUUAUUUUUUAGAUUGACGAUUACAUAGUCCAUGGUUCAAUUAAAGUUGGGCGGCACCAUGACGUGAGAUAAAAUUAACCAGUCUCCUUUAGUUAAUAAAUAAAUUGCAAAGAAGUUUAAAAUAAAGCCAGUUUGCAGCCUUAUUUAUAUGUUCAUUGAUAUAGACAUGGCCCCCGAAAACGGAGGGCCGUGCGGUAAAAAUUUUGAUAAAUUGACAUAUGAACGAGGUUCAGAGAGUAGAUAUUUAACGUUAUUUUUUAGAUUGACGAUUACAUAGUCCAUGGUUCAAUUAAAGUUGGGCGGCACCAUGACGUGAGAUAAAAUUAACCAGUCUCCUUUAGUUAAAAACUAAAAUACUACCCAGGGUAGCCGUCUUUUUAAAGCGAUGGGGAAAAGAAAUCUUCGAUUUCUUUUCCCCAACAAACUAUCAAGGUUUUGAUCUGUAUCUCUUCUCUUAAAAGAAGAGAUACAGAUCAAAACCUUGAUAACGAGCAAAGCGAAGUUUAUUGCAAAAAAACAUGACCCAGGGUCGAUGUAAAUUUGCAGCCAAUAUAAUAUGACCUCUAAAAUUAUAAUAAAAUACGGGAGGUCGUAUUGGUUCAACGACUAAUAUACCUUUAUUCUUUUUUCAAAGAAAAUGACAUAGUCUGAACAUGACCCAGGGUCGAUGUAAAUUUGCAGCCAAUAUAAUAUGACCUCUAAAAUUAUAAUAAAAUACGGGAGGUCGUAUUGGUUCAACGACUAAUAUACCUUUAUUCUUUUUUCAAAGAAAAUGACAUAGUCUGAACUUUUAUGUAAAUAAAAGAAACAAUUUUGGGGUUUAAAACGUCGUGAGACAGUUUGGUCGCUAUCUGAUAUGUCAAAUUGGAAUACAUAGAAGUUUUCUCCCUCGUACGAGAGGAACGGGGCCAACAGGUUUGGUAUUAGCCAAAAGUUAGUCCUUUUGGUGUCUGCAGUGUAUCUUUCUAGCAUGUCCUCGAUAGACUCAUCGUCCUAGGACGGUCUAAAUUUACCAUCCUCUAUAGACCCACCAUUACCAACCGUCCAAAGGACGGUGUUGGCCCACCGUCCAAAAGACGGUGGGCCAUGCAGAGUGGCAUGGCGACAAAAGAUUACUCAGUAAGCCGUGAAAAGUGUCAAUGGUGUACGAGUUAUGGAUUCUUGAAAUCUGUAGUCGCUUGGUAGCUAAACACUUCUCGAUAACCACUGAAGACAUCUUAAAGUGGGAAGCGUCCUUCGA